rnacentral:lncRNA from 1 species
AAAUUGUUAUUACUUCAGGCCCCAAAAGUGUAAUUUAAGAUCAAAGCUUGAACUGGUAUCACAAAUGCAAUUCAAAUAAAAGGAAAACCUGAAUGAUUUUCAGAUAAAUAAAAUCAGACUAAAUAAAUGUAAAUCUACAACAAUUUAGUUCACAUAAUUUAGUGUAUUUAAUUUAAUUUUGUAUUAUUUGUUAGGUCUACAAACAGAAAGAGCUCAAGGUGUUAAUCAGCUGAACAGAUACUCAGCUUUUUUCAACACAAUAGCAAGGAGUAGAUUUCUCUCCAUCAAACCAAUAUAAGUGGGAUAUAAGGCUACCAA